GACCAUCUCCCAAGGCUAAAUACUCCCUAGUGACCGAUAGUGAACCAGUACCGUGAGGGAAAGGUGAAAAGCACCCCGGAAGGGGAGUGAAACAGUUCCUGAAACCGUGUGCCUACAAGUAGUUAGAGCCCGUUAAUGGGUGAUAGCGUGCCUUUUGUAGAAUGAACCGGCGAGUUACGAUUUGUUGCAAGGUUAAGCGGAAAAAGCGGAGCCGUAGCGAAAGCGAGUCUGAAUAGGGCGCAUAAGUAACAGGUCGUAGACCCGAAACCAGGUGAUCUACCCAUGUCCAGGAUGAAGGUAAGGUAAUACUUACUGGAGGUCCGAACCCACGCACGUUGAAAAGUGCGGGGAUGAGGUGUGGGUAGCGGAGAAAUUCCAAUCGAACUUGGAGAUAGCUGGUUCUCUCCGAAAUAGCUUUAGGGCUAGCCUCGAGGUAAAGAGUCAUGGAGGUAGAGCACUGUUUGGACUAGGGGCCCUUCUCGGGUUACCGAAUUCAGAUAAACUCCGAAUGCCAUGUACUUAUACUCGGGAGUCAGACUGCGAGUGAUAAGAUCCGUAGUCGAAAGGGAAACAGCCCAGACCACCAGUUAAGGUCCCCAAAUAUAUGUUAAGUGGAAAAGGAUGUGGGGUUGCUUAGACAACCAGGAUGUUGGCUUAGAAGCAGCCACCAUUGAAAGAGUGCGUAAUAGCUCACUGGUCGAGUGACCCCGCGCCGAAAAUGUACCGGGGCUAAACAUAUUACCGAAACUGUGGAUGAACCUCUUUAGAGGUUCGUGGUAGGAGAGCGUUCUAAGGGCGGUGAAGUCAGACCGGAAGGACUGGUGGAGCGCUUAGAAGUGAGAAUGCCGGUAUGAGUAGCGAAAGAAGGGUGAGAAUCCCUU
rnacentral:rRNA from 1 species